GGGGAUGUAGCUCAAAUGGUAAAGUGCUCGCUUUGCAUGCGAGAGGUACCAGGAUCGAUACCUGGCAUCUCCA
rnacentral:tRNA from 1 species